rnacentral:lncRNA from 1 species
UUAUUUUUUCCCUUAAAGCUGAAACAAUUGUACUGAGUUUCUGAAGCUCAGUUGGGAAUUAUUUUCCAGAAAAAAAAAAAAAGAUAUUGCUCCAAGUGGCUGAUAGGAAAAGAAGUGAAAUAUGCAACUGCUCAACAAAUAUGGUAAACCUACCUAGAUGUCCCGAAAUGAAAAACUGCCUGAGGUCCAUUUAUGAAAUAGAAGAAUUCGGUAUGUUUCAUCAUUUUCACCAAAAGGAAGGAAAUCAGCAAUGUAGCCCAACUCUCUGGGGCUCGAAGAUGCAACCUCAACAAUUAGGAAGGUGCAUGGUCCUGUUUGGAGUUUCCAAACCCAGCAGAUCCUGCUACAUUGCUCCUCCUGGAGAAGGAAGCUGA